GAUGAAGAACGCAGCGAAAUGCGAUAAGUAAUGUGAAUUGCAGAAUUCCGUGAAUCAUCGAAUCUUUGAACGCACAUUGCGCCCCUUGGUAUUCCGAGGGGCAUGCCUGUUCGAGCGUCAUUAUAACCCCUCAAGCUCAGCUUGGUGUUGGGGCCUGCUGCACUGGCAGCCCUUAAAAUCAGUGGCGGCGCCAUCUGGCUCUAAGCGUAGUAAUUCUUCUCGCUAUGGAGUCCUGGUGGAUGCUUGCCAUCAACCCCCAAUUUUUCUAUGGUUGACCUCGGAUCAGGUAGGGAUACCCGCUGAACUUAAGCAUAUCAAUAAGCGGAGG
rnacentral:misc_RNA from 1 species